rnacentral:rRNA from 1 species
UACGUAGGGACCAAGCGUUGUUCGGAUUUACUGGGCGUAAAGGGCGCGUAGGCGGCGCGGUAAGUCACUUGUGAAAUCUCUGAGCUUAACUCAGAACGGCCAAGUGAUACUGCAGUGCUAGAGUGUGGAAGGGGCAAUCGGAAUUCUUGGUGUAGCGGUGAAAUGCGUAGAUAUCAUGAGGAAGACCAGUGGCGAAGGCGGGUCUCUGGACAGUUCCUGACACUGAGACACGAAGGCCAGGGGAGCAAACGGG